rnacentral:rRNA from 1 species
GAUGAACGCUGGCGGCGUGCCUAAUACAUGCAAGUCGAGCGAAUGGAUUAAGAGCUUGCUCUUAUGAAGUUAGCGGCGGACGGGUGAGUAACACGUGGGUAACCUGCCCAUAAGACUGGGAUAACUCCGGGAAACCGGGGCUAAUACCGGAUAACAUUUUGAACCGCAUGGUUCGAAAUUGAAAGGCGGCUUCGGCUGUCACUUAUGGAUGGACCCGCGUCGCAUUAGCUAGUUGGUGAGGUAACGGCUCACCAAGGCAACGAUGCGUAGCCGACCUGAGAGGGUGAUCGGCAACACUGGGACUGCGACGCGGCCCAGACUCCUACGGGAGGCAGCAGUAGGGAAUCUUCCGCAAUGGACGAAAGUCUGACGGAGCAACGCCGCGUGCGUGAUGAAGGCUUUCGGGUCGUAAAACUCUGUUGUUAGGGAAGAACAAGUGCUAGUUGAAUAAGCUGGCACCUUGACGGUACCUAACCAGAAAGCCACGGCUAACUACGUGCCAGCCGCCGCGGUAA